GACGAGGGGUCCAAGCGUUGCUCGGAAUCAUUGGGCGUAAAGCGGGUGUAGGCGGCUUGGUAAGUCAGAAGUGAAAGCCCCGGGCUUAAACCGGGAAGUGCUUUUGAUACUGCUAGGCUUGAGUGUGGGAGAGGAUAGUGGAAUUCCUGGUGUAGUGGUGAAAUACGUAGAUAUCAGGAGGAACGCCGGUGAGGAAGCUGGCUGUCUGGCCCAACACUGACGCUCAGACCCGAAAGCGUGGGGGGCAAACAGG
rnacentral:misc_RNA from 1 species